UGGGUAACACUAACUGGAGGACCGAACCGACUAAUGUUGAAAAAUUAGCGGAUGACCUGUGGCUGGGGGUGAAAGGCCAAUCAAACCGGGAGAUAGCUGGUUCUCCCCGAAAGCUAUUUAGGUAGCGCCUCGUGAAUUCAUCUCCGGGGGUAGAGCACUGUUUCGGCUAGGGGGCCAUCCCGGCUUACCAACCCGAUGCAAACUGCGAAUACCGGAGAAUGUUAUCACGGGAGACACACGGCGGGUGCUAACGUCCGUCGUGAAGAGGGAAACAACCCAGACCGCCAGCUAAGGUCCCAAAGUCAUGGUUAAGUGGGAAACGAUGUGGGAAGGCCCAGACAGCCAGGAUGUUGGCUUAGAAGCAGCCAUCAUUUAAAGAAAGCGUAAUAGCUCACUGGUCGAGUCGGCCUGCGCGGAAGAUGUAACGGGGCUAAACCAUGCACCGAAGCUGCGGCAGCGACACUGUGUGUUGUUGGGUA
rnacentral:rRNA from 2 species